rnacentral:rRNA from 1 species
GACGAACGCUGGCGGCGUGCCUAACACAUGCAAGUCCAGGAGAAAGGUUUCUUCGGAGGCCUGAGUAAACUGGCGAACGGGUGAGUAGCACGUAGGUAACCUGCCCUUGGAAUUGGGAUAACACUGCUAACGCGGUGCUAAUACCGAAUAAUGCAGCGGAUCCGCAUGGAUAUGUUGUUAAAGCUGGCCUCUACUUGUAAGCUAGCGUCUAAGGAUGGACCUGCGUCCCAUUAGUUUGUUGGCGGGGUAACGGCCCACCAAGACUACGAUGGGUAGCCGGCCUGAGAGGGUGACCGGCCACACUGGGACUGAGAUACGGCCCAGACACCUACGGGUGGCAG